AUUGAACGCUGGCGGCAGGCCUAACACAUGCAAGUCGAGCGGAGCGGCGGACGGGUGAGUAAUGCCUAGGAAUCUGCCUGGUAGUGGGGGAUAACGUCCGGAAACGGGCGCUAAUACCGCAUACUAUCAGAUGAGCCUAGGUAGGAUGAGCUAGUUGGGGGGGUAAAUGCCUACCAAGGCGACGAUCCGUAACUGGUCGGAGAGGAUGAUCAGUCAAACUGGAACUGAGACACUGUCCAGACUCCUACGGUAGUCAGCAGUGGGGAAUAUUGGGCAAUGGGCGAAAGCCUGAUCCAUCCAUGCCGAGUGUGUGAAGAAGGUCUUCGGAUUGUAAAGCACUUUAAGUCGUGAGGCGUUACCAACAGAAUAAGCACCGGCUAACUUCGUGCCAGCAGCCGCGGUAAUUC
rnacentral:rRNA from 1 species